ACUCGAUGGAGAGGCUGACGAUCUCGUUGUCGCUCAGAGCCCCCUUCUCCUGCUCCAGGACCUCGCCGCGGUCCUCAUUGGAGCCAUUGGGGACUGCAGAAGAAGAGAGCUCUGAGGGGGUGGCCUAAGACGGCGAAAGGAGCCCCUCCAAGGACCCCGGGACCUCAGCGUUCAUCGGGGUGAGUCCAGCCAUCCUCUAGGCUGGGACGGUGGUGUGGCGGUCUGUGCAAGAGGGACAGCCCACGUGCUAGCGGCAGCACCACACGCUCCCACGAACGGACACGUGCACACACUCACCUUCAGUCAGGGGGUACGCUGCGUAGAAGUCCCGCCGCCGUUUCAUCUCAUCUGGAAGAGGGAGGCAGGGUGAGGAUGGGAGCACCAGGCAGGGAAGUGGGGGGCAGCAGGGCAGACAAAGGGUGUGCAGAUACCUUUAAAAAGCCCAGGGACCAGUUUAUAGACGAUGUCUUGGAGGGUCUUGUCAGAUCUGGAAAAAACGUACGGAGUCCUGUGGGUGACCACUUCACCCUCCUCUCCCCAGCCAGGAAUCCCUACUCCCACCUCCCUUCCUUGAUCCAGGGCCCAGCUAUCAGGGUCCCUGGAGGUGUGGUCUUUACCCCUCUGGCAUUUCGCAGCCUAGACAAGCUGGAUAUAGAACAAGGGGAGGGGCAGGGCCCUGGGUUGACGCCCUGUGCUUCUCCCCUCUGCCACCUUGGCUGUCGGAAGCAGGGACGCCUGAGGACAGAGGGCAGCAGCCCCAGAGGAUCGGCGUGGCAGGAGGGACAGCGCCAGGCCCACCUGAUGCUCAGCAGCGGUCUGGUUUUAUGGACCUGCACGUCACACAUGGGGCAGUACUUGUUGGUCUCCAGGUAGCGCACGAUGCAGGUUUUGCAGACUUAGGGGUGUGGAGAAAGAAAGCGGAGUCAGAGCCCCCUUUGUAAUCCAGGACCAACGCUCACUGCUCACAUUCAGGUAUCCCCUCCUCUCCAGCUUGUCCCCACAGCUCAGCCCACUCAGAGGCUCAACGUGGUCCUAUUUUGCAUAGAUGGCAAUCGCCCCUUGUCUAUCCUCAGAGGACGGAGUGUGGGUGUGUUUGUGUCAGACCAGUGUUGUGUCCCAAGCGGGUGAGCCCCAAGUCUGACAGAGUACAGAACAAGAGCCAGCCUGUCGGGACACCUCCCAGGGUCCCUGACCCCUUGCCACCAAGCCCAGAGUGCACGUGAGGGGCACCUGCAUCUUCCAAGACUGCCAGUGCAGGGGACCCAUGAGGGUUCAGGUGAAAGCUUCUGAAACAAACCUCUGGGCUGAACCCUCGAGGCUCCCCACCCCAGUAGUCUUCCUGAGACCAGGGACCACCACCAGACAUGUGGACACGUGCUCUCUUCAGGGCAGGAGCUCAUGCUCUGCCCUCCCAAGGCCAUGCCCCUCCGACCCAGGCAGAGACCGCCCACCCUGAGAGGCAGCCCCUCCACCCAACUCACAGGAAUGCAAGCACUCCACGAUGGUAGUAGCAUCAAUGAAGUACCCCCCGCAGAGGGCACACAUGAGGUGAGGAUUCAGCUCCGUGAUUUUGAUCCGGGUGGUCCGGUGCAUGAUGCCGGGGUGGGGGACAGGGGGCCUGGGGAGCGUCACCCUGAGAAAUGAGAGUGGAAUCAGACAUCCAGAGACCAGACAGCCCUUCCCACAGUCCCCUCCUCACCACCCGACAUCUGGCCCCAAGCCCAAAACCCUUGCUUUCUGCCUCCCAGGCUAGACUGGCUACGCGACUGGGACUGGCUCCUCCUGGUCCCUGUGUGUUCCCUGGACUGGGGAGCUGUGGAGAGUCCUACGACCUUGGGCAAUGAGGUCAGGCUCCAUCUCAAGAGCAGGAGCAGUCUGAAGUGAGAACAACUCUCCAGAGGAUAUAGGGAGGCAGGAAAAAUGGAAGAGAAUAGUUUUUAAAAAUGUCCCUGAUGUUCCCCAACCCCAUAUUCUCUCAUGUGAGUGCUAGGAACUGAGGAAACAUAGAUUCUCCCUCUACCUGGAUAUGAGCCACCCCCCAACUGCCGCCUGGGUCUCUCUGCUCCAUCCUCCUCUCCUUCCAUCCCAACACUUCUUCUUCCAGGAAGCCCUGAAAACACCAUAGGCAUGGACCACCCUAAGACUAGAAGGAGCACCUCAUCGCUUGUCUUCCUAGCUCAGCAUCCAGCCUGGCCCUGGGUCUGGUGCUCAUAUGCCCACAGUGGGGACCAUGUAGCUCCAGCCUGACCCCGGCCCUGGGCCCUGAAGGACCAGAAAUUCGCAGCCAGGAUCAACAGUUUCUAUAGAGACCCCAGGAUGAGUUUGGCCAGGACCCAAACAGCCAACAGAGGCUGGCCAGAGACCGAAAGAGAUGGAGAGACGCACAAAGGCCACAUGUGGGUGAGACAGCAAGUCUGCAGGGCAGACGGAGGGGAAACGGGCAAGCCCAGGGAGCCAGUGGACACGCAGCAACCGGGCAGCAGCAAUCUGGCUUCGGGAAGGAGGGGUGCCUGUCUCUCAGAGGGCAGCCCCAGGGCCAGACCCUCUCUACAAGGGUUCCCCCUUAAAAAUGAUUCAGACUCGCUGGCUACUCCACUGUUUGGUUGUUUCCAUAGUAACCCUGGCCCUGGCAAGAUGCCCAAAUAUUAUUACAACCAUCCAGAGAGCAAA